AUGGUGAGGAAGGUACAGUGGUGCCAAUGGAGCCCUAGGAAGGAGAUGCAACAAGAAAUGAUGGUCCAGGAGAUGCCGGAGGAGGGUGUCUCCGGGAAUUCUCCAGAGGUUGCCUUAAAUGCGUCAGGCAUUAGCCCCGGUCCUCACUGGCCUAAGUUAGCCUGCCCAGGCCUCCUGAGCCGUUGGUGAGAGCAUUGCC
rnacentral:lncRNA from 1 species